AUGGAGCUCAUAGCAGCCCUCACGACCCUCCAAAAUGCAAGAGCCCUUGUGAGGCUUUCUCUGCUCAGCUAUGUGAUGUGAAAGCUGCACGGGGAAGCUAAGACUGGCUGUCUGGCUGCAGGCACUCCUGCAACACAUUAUCACCUGGUAGAGAGGGCAGCAGCAGCAAUCAGAGCAUGAGAGACUCACGUGGGUGAAUAAUACUGCUGAUGACAUCAGUGUCUUCAGCAUCACCCUAAGCCAUCUCUCCAAGACACUUGACCAAAUAUUGCAGUGCCCUACCUGGUAACAGGAACUCUGAAGAGUCACCCAGAGGGCAAAACCUGCCAGGCCUGGGCACAUCACCAGUUAAUUGCAACUCCUGCCUUGCUUUCCAGGGAGCAGCAGCUCUCUGCGCUGGUGCAGCACAUCCAACUCACACCAACAGCAAACGCAGUGCACCCAGCUCCAUCCCCCUCCUCCCAGCAGUGGGAGCACAUCCAGCUUCCUACCUCUCGGGCUUCCCAUUGGGGUCAUAUGGAGCCUGAGCAUCCUCCUCAUCGAUCUCUGAGUAUUCACUCUUGGGCCUGGAAUGAGAGCAGGGAAGGUCAGCACUGGAUCAAAUCAUGGAAAAAAAGUUCACAUUAAUGUAGCCCUUUCUAUUUCCUCCACCUUGAGCAGCCUGAGAAGCCAGCAUAGAAAACUCCAUGCCCACCACAGUCUCCUGCCAGCCUCCCUCAGACCCAAUGAGACCAAGAUCAUCGUGUCCUGUCACCAGUGGUCCUCAAUAAAACUGCAUUUUCCAACAAAACCUUCCACCUGCAACAAAUAUAUAGCAUUCAUGAGCCUUCAUGUUACUUGCCACGCUGUCCAUUACUGAAAACAGGGCAGAGACUGAACCUUGUUUCACCAUGACGUCUGCUUUGAGAGUCCAGCUGCAUUCCAGCACUCUGCCAGCAGCCUCAAAACUAAAACCAAAACAAUAACUAUCCUUGGAUAGCAGAGACAUCUGUCUCUGUAUUGUCUUCACUAGAAGCAAGAUGAACUUGGAAAGAAACCCAUUAUCAUCAGGGAACACACAGCUCCAACAGCAAUCACCACUUCUUUAGGUCCUUCUAACUCUGACACUGAUUUUGUCAAGAAUCUCUCCAGGGCUGUUUCCAGGUACUGCACACAACAGCAGGCUCAUGAGGAUGCAGCCCAGUCUGCCACCAAAGGAAUCUGCAUCAGCGCUGCCUUGGGCCACCCAGACAUGUAAAGCCUCACCACAGAGGGACGCAGGUUCAGCCUGUCACUUCUUAACAUCCAGCAUUACAGAAAUUAAACCAGAGAGUUUUUGUGGCACCACAACGAAGCCUAAAAUUAUUUCAAAUCCUGAUUUGAAAUUCCACAUCACAGAGACGUUCCUGCUUCGCAACCACCCAGCCAACAGCCCAGACCAUCAACCCAAUUUCGGUGCAAUUUACCUGCCAUGAUCCGUUUGGCAACUACAAAACUCUCCAGUUCUGCCCCCAAAGUGAUGGUGACAGAGGCCAGUCCCGCACACCAACACUUCUGAUGUGCUCAUGAUAGAGAUAAUGCAGAGCUGCAACCUGCUGGCCCACCCCCACCCAGACUGACUGAACUGAACCAUGGAGGUGUCCUACAGAGCCCAUCAAAGCCAAGCUUUGGGGUUUGCUCCUUCCAUCAGUGAAAACAGCCUGGGAUUGCUGUGGGCAGAUCUCAGAAUCUGGGCAGAGUCCCUGUGACAGAAAACGCCUGGCAGACAGCUGGAGGUGGAGAAUACAGGCUAAAUGCUGCUCUCAGCAGCCCCUUUACUGAGAGCUGCCUUAGCAAGGGGCAACGUAAUCAAAGCAAUGGUGUGUAGGCUCAGAGCAGACAGUGAGGAAGAAUGACAGGUAUUUUUGGAGUCAAGCCUGGCAAUGCGGGGCCUGGGCAGGAGGAAAGCCUGCUGAGCCCCUUCUGCUGCACAGCCUCUUGUCCAGCUGCAGCUCUGCUCAGGCUUCCGUUCCCCCCAGCUUCUGCAGUCCCUGCACCAAAUUCUGCUCCUGCAUCGAGGUCUUCCUGACCUUGUGCAGCUCUACCUGCUGCCCUGCAACCACAGCAGCUCAUCUGCUGUCCCUCCUAGCUCCUGCUUGCCGCUGCCUUGGCUGAAGCACCCAGUGCCUCUCUGCUGCUGGCUCCAGCAUGCUCAAUGGCAGCAUGUCUGCUGGAUGGUCACUGCGACUUGAGUAUGUACAAGAAAAAGCAAUGCUUAGAGAUCCAAACUAUGCCCUGGGCUGAAAUGACGUAACCAAACAAUGGCUUGGCUUCAAAGGAACCCUUUAAGACCACCUAGUCCCAUCCCUUUGCCUCAGAGCUGUACUGUUUUCUGCUUGGACACUGUGUUGACUGUAACUCUUUGAAUAUGGCUAUGCAGCCAAGUCCCUGUUUUCCUCAGCUUUCCCAGCUGUAUGGUAACUGUUGAGUCAUGGCCUGAAACACUGAUUGAUCACCUGGGAAAAGGACCAGCUCAGCCCUGGGAGCACAGGUGAAGGCAUUUCAGCUGCAUGACAGGAAGGGGUGGAGCCUGGCUGCAUCUCUCUUAGACCCCAUUUAAGGGCUGACUGCCACUGGGGAAGGAUCUCUGGUUGGAGAUCCUUCUUUUGUGGAGUUUCUACUCUGAGCCUGGACCUUCAGAGACAGUUCUUACUCCCUGCUGAAUGCCACUUACCAUCCUGCUCCACGUAGUCAUUGGGGUCGUUGUCUCUGCUCCGAGAUGUUACCUGCAGGACGACAAAAGGAAACCGAUGAGAAUGCCAGCCUCACAGAUUGCAUUAACUACUAAAAUAAGACUGUGGAGCGCCGUUGCAGAAUGACUUACAGCAACAAAUGCAGUUCACCCUAUUUAAUGGAAAUUGGGACUAUUUAGACAACUGCAACUCAGUUUGUGAUGUCCUGCUCCACCAGUCUGCUCUCUCCCACAGGAUAGAGAGAGUCACAGCCUGUGCCCACUGCUGCUGUUUGGUUCUGCAGCAGUUCAGAUUUGCCUGUGAUACUGCUAGAAGAGGAUGCAUAGCACUCACACAACCAAAGCUGAAGCAAGAGACAUCAACCUCUGUCUAUUGCUUUAAUUAGGCACUCUGGAACAAACUUCACCACCAGAAGCAGCUCCCGGGCUGUGGUGACCCCUGGAUGUGGACUCGGAGCAAGGCCCCUCCAGCUGACAGCUUUUUCAAACAUUCUCCACAAAGUCCCUUUGCAUCUGCUCUGCUCUGGCUCUGCCAACCCUCCCCAAGGUGACUGGGCAAGAGCCAUUUGGCAGCAUUGCCCUGGCUCAGGCUCCUCACACCUUGCCAUUCUGAGAGCCAAGAAUCAGCAAGCUGGGGGCCUCUGGGCUCCUGCCAAGCUUUGUGAAGGGGCUGACCUUGCCAAAGCCCUGGCAGCAAGCGGGCA